rnacentral:lncRNA from 1 species
UCAGGUUGUGUUCAGUUUAAACGUUUAGGUAUAGUAUUUUCUCUAAUCCUAUGUAAAAAAUAUAAAAUAUAAGAAAUAUAAAUAUUAUUCUAAUUAUAUCAUUAGAAUAAGUAAAUAUAAAAUAUAAGAAAAAUAAAAAAUAGGUAAAUAUAAAAUAUAAGAAUUAGACAAACUAAAUUAAACAUAUAUCAUGAAAAUGUAUAUUAAAAAAUAAUAAGUAAAUAUAAAAUAAAAAAAAUAGAAAUAUUACAUUAAACAUCUAUAGUAAUAUUACAAUUUGAUAUAAAAGAAAAAACAAUUAGAAUAAGUAAAUAUACAAUUUAAGGUUUUUUGCAGAAUUGACCUACAACUUAAAGUUAAACACAAAACUAACCUCCAUUUUUUUUGGAAAUUGGUUUUGCCCUAUUCACCCCACAAGUUCAUAUAAUUCACAAAAAUGCCAUCAACUUUUUUUUUUUUUUACGAAAUGACAUUUUUACUCUCUCACCCUCAUCAUCUUCAAGUAAUUACAAGAUUGCAAUUGUCAUCAAUAUCCUAACCACCAUGAACAACCAAUCUGAAGCUCUUAAUGCUCCCAAAAUCGAGUUACCCUUCUUCUUUUUUCAUUCUUAUGAACUAAACACAACAUAUCUCUCACUUUCUAUCCACAUUGAGCUAAAAAAACCCAAGAUUUUG